GACGAACGCUGGCGGCGUGCCUAAUACAUGCAAGUCGAGCGCAGGAAGCUCACGGAACUCUUCGGAGGGAAGUGAAGGGAAUGAGCGGCGGACGGGUGAGUAACACGUAAGGAGCCUGCCCCAAGGAUUGGGAUAACUCCGAGAAAUCGGAGCUAAUACCGAAUAGUUCUUCAGACCGCAUGGUCUGAUGAUGAAAGGCGCUGCGGCGUCACCUUGGGAUGGCCUUGCGGUGCAUUAGCUAGUUGGUGGGGUAAUGGCCCACCAAGGCGACGAUGCAUAGCCGACCGGAGAGGGUGAUCGGCCACACUGGGACUGAGACACGGCCCAGACUCCUACGGGAGGCAGCAGUAGGGAAUCUUCCACAAUGGACGAAAGUCUGAUGGAGCAACGCCGCGUGAGUGAUGAAGGUUUUCGGAUCGUAAAACUCUGUUGUAAGGGAAGAACAGGUAUGAGAGGUAAUGCUCAUGCUAUGACGGUACCUUACGAGAAAGCCACGGCUAACUACGUGCCAGCCGCCGCCGUAAAAC
rnacentral:rRNA from 1 species